rnacentral:rRNA from 1 species
GGGGCUUGCGUUGGAUUAGCUAGUUGGUGAGGUAAUAGCUCACCAAGUCAAUGAUCAGUAGCUGGUCUGAGAGGACGAUCACCCACAUCGGAACUGAGACACGGUCCAGACUCCUACGGGAGGCAGCAGUGGGGAAUCUUGGGCAAUGGGGGAAACCGUGAACAGCCGACGCGUCGUGAAGAAGAAGCUUUUCGGGUUGUAAACUCCUUUUGUCUAGGUUCUACACAACGGGCCCCCUGAAGGUAAGUCACUAACCAUAGCCCCACCAGCGCCGGUACAUGGUGUCCAAAACCGUCUCGAUUUUUGGGGUAAAAGAUCUGUAUGGGUUCCUUUAAGUUUUUGGUGAAAAAUCCGGGGCCAAAUCGGAAAAUGUCCGGAAAAAUCAGGAAAUUGAGUGAGUCGGAGGGAGAUGGGAAUUUCGGGGUAGGGGGAAAAUCCGUUUAGAUCUAGGAGGACACCACAGGCGAAAGGGAUCUUUUGGGCCGGUCCUGACACCCAGGGACGAAAAAGCGGGGGGAGCAAACGGUAUGAUUCCCCGGGGGUUCACGCCCCAAAAGAUGGGCUCUUGGCAUUCGGGGCAUAGACCCCCUCCGUGCCGCAGCUAACGCAUUAAGGCC